rnacentral:rRNA from 1 species
GACGAACCGUGCGAACGUUGUUCGGAAUCACUGGGCUUAAAGGGCGCGUAGGCGGGUUUUCAAGUCUGUGGUGAAAGCCUCCAGCUUAACUGGAGAAGUGCCGUGGAUACUGGAGACCUCGAGGAGGGUAGGGGCAUCUGGAACAGCCGGUGGAGCGGUGAAAUGCGUAGAGAUGCGGAGGAACACCGAUGGCGAAGGCAGCCCCCUGGGCCAAUACUGACGCUCAGGCACGAAAGCGUGGGGAGCAAACAGG